GCGCGGAUGGCGGAAUUGGUAGACGCGAGGGACUUAAAAUCCCUUGACCUAAAAAGUCGUGCGGGUUCGAUUCCCGCUCUGCGCACCA
rnacentral:tRNA from 1 species